AUGACUUUCCACUCAGCGAAUA
rnacentral:miRNA from 1 species